rnacentral:rRNA from 1 species
GAUGAACGCUGGCGGCGUGCUUAACACAUGCAAGUCGAACGGAAAGGCCAGUGCUUGCACUGGUACUCGAGUGGCGAACGGGUGAGUAACACGUGGGUGAUCUGCCCUGCACUUCGGGAUAAGCCUGGGAAACUGGGUCUAAUACCGGAUAGGACCAUGGUUUGUAUGCGGUUGUGGAGAGUUUUUUCGGUGUGGGAUGGGCCCGCGGCCUAUUCGCUUGUUUGUGGGGUGAUGGCCUACCAAGGCGUCGACGGGUGGACGGCCUGUGAGGGGGUACGGGCCCAUUGGGGGUGAGAUACGGCCCCGACACCUAUGGGGGGCGGCGGUGGGGGAAAUUGCACAAUGUGGGCAGAACUGAUGCGGCGACGCCGCGUGGGGGGUGGGGGCGUUCUCGGUGUAAACUCCUUUCGCUGCGGACGAAGCGUAUUUGUGACGGUACCUGGAGAAGAAGCACCGGCUAACUACGUG